CAUUAACAGACGUGUAUGGCAUGUAAAUGUCCUGCAGCGAGUCACACACAAAUGAAUGAAAUGGUUUAAUAUGAAGGAAAAAUGCCUUUCGGUGGAAAAGACGAGCAUGUGUACGAUGAAACUGAUCUGAUUUGUGGGCUUCACAGUUCAUAAUACAAAUGGCAAACACACAGUAAAGUGCAUAAAAACUGUAUAAAACCUUCACAACGACUUUACUAUUAGAACAUGAAAAUAUGCGUCAUGUGUAAACUGACCACGCACAGUUGGGCAAAGAAGUAUUUAGUCAGCCACCAAUUGUGCAAGUUCUCCCACUUUAAAACGAUGAGAGGGGCCUGUAAUUUUCAUCAGAGGUUCACCUCAACUAUGAGAGACAAAAAGAGAUGUCUGAUAUUUAAAGAAUUUAUUUGCUUUUAUGAUGGAAAAUAUGUGUUUUGUCAAUAACAAAAGCCCACCAAAGUACUUUUUUCAUAUACCUUUUGUUGGCAAUGACAGCAGUCAAACGUUUUCUGUGUCCCUGUGGUGCAGGUUCUGGUCGUUGCCCUCAAGUGCUGGGCCUCUCUUAAAAAAGUCCAACAGUGGGGGAGCCAUGUCAGGCCAUGUUUACAAUGCUCUUCGGGGACCCCCACUUCUCUUGGGCGUUCUUCGCCUGGACGGGGGUGGCCGGCCCAUGCCUUGCUCUCCACUGGACCUACUGUGGGGGAGGUGGGCAUUCAGAGUCUCCGGAAGCAGGAAGACCAGGCUGCCGCUAAAGAUCCCGGUCCCAGCAAAAAUGAGCGGCGGCAGAAGAAGCCAAACGUCCUCCAGCAGCAUCACCAUAGGAGCCAGCGAGCUUCCAAUCCGACAGAGACAUGAGGUGUAGCCUAUUCCACACUGCCUGUACAAAAAGAGAGGUAGAAGCUUCAUGUGUGAACGUGGACCAUGACAUGAAAGCCUCUAUGAGAAAAGGUUAAUGUCUUCAGUAAUAAAAGAACUACCAAGAUAAA